AGAGUUUGAUCCUGGCUCAGAGCGAACGUUAGCGGCGGGCCUAACACAUGCAAGUCGAACGAGAACGCUCCUUCGGGAGUUAUUAAAGUGGCGCACGGGUGAGGAACGCGUAGGUAAUUUACCCUUUGGCGGGGGACAACAUUCCGAAAGGAAUGCUAAUACCGCGUAAGACCACGCUCACUACGGUGAAAGUGGUUAAAGGUGCCUCAAAGCACCACCAAAGGAUGAGCCUGCGUCCCAUCAGCUUGUUGGUGAGGUAAUGGCUUACCAAGGCGAAGACGGGUAGCUGGUCUGAGAGGAUGAUCAGCCACACUGGCACUGGAACACGGGCCAGACUCCUACGGGAGGCAGCAGUGAGGAAUAUUGGGCAAUGGGCGAAAGCCUGACCCAGCCACGCCGCGUGUGUGAUGAAGGCCUUCGGGUCGUAAAGCACUGUGGGGAGAGACGAACAUGCGCAGGAGGAAAUGCUUGCGCACUGACGGUACCUCCUUAGCAAGCACCGGCUAACUCUGUGCCAGCAGCCGCGGUAAUACAGAGGGUGCAAACGUUGCUCGGAUUUACUGGGCGUAAAGCGCGUGUAGGCGGACUUGCAAGUCGGUUGUGAAAUCCCUGGGCUCAACCCAGGAACUGCAUCCGAAACUGCAAGUCUUGAGUAGUGGAGAGGGAAGCGGAAUUCCAGGUGUAGAGGUGAAAUGCGUAGAGAUUGGAAGGAACAUCAGUGGCGAAGGCGGCCACCUGGACAUACUGACGCUGAGGUGCGAAAGCGUGGGGAGCAAACAGGAUUAGAUACCCUGGUAGUCCACGCCGUAAACGAUGUCAACUAGCCGUUGGGAGACUUGAUUUCUUAGUGGCGCAGCUAACGCACUAAGUUGACCGCCUGGGGAGUACGGCCGCAAGGUUAAAACUCAAAUGAAUUGACGGGGGCCCGCACAAGCGGUGGAGCAUGUGGUUUAAUUCGAUGCAACGCGAAGAACCUUACCAGGUCUUGACAUCCUGCGAAUUUUCUAGAGAUAGAUUAGUGCCUUCGGGAACGCAGUGACAGGUGCUGCAUGGCUGUCGUCAGCUCGUGUCGUGAGAUGUUGGGUUAAGUCCCGUAACGAGCGCAACCCUUGUCCUUAGUUGCCAGCACAUAAUGGUGGGAACUCUAAGGAGACUGCCGGUGACAAACCGGAGGAAGGUGGGGACGACGUCAAGUCAUCAUGGCCCUUACGACCUGGGCUACACACGUGCUACAAUGGAACGCACAGAGGGCUGCAAAAGCGCGAGCUGGAGCUAAUCCCACAAAACGUUUCGUAGUCCGGAUUGGAGUCUGCAACUCGACUCCAUGAAGUCGGAAUCGCUAGUAAUCGUGAAUCAGAAUGUCACGGUGAAUACGUUCCCGGGCCUUGUACACACCGCCCGUCACACCAUGGGAGUGGGUUGCAAAAGAAGUGGGUAGACUAACCUUCGGGAGGUCGCUCACCACUUUGUGAUUCAUGACUGGGGUAAAAACGUAACAAGGUAACC
rnacentral:rRNA from 1 species